rnacentral:snRNA from 1 species
GUGCUUGCUUCGGCAGCACAUAUAAUAAGUUGGAACGAUGUAAAGAAGAUUAGCAUGGCCCCUGUGCAAGGAUGACAUGCAAAUUCAUAAAGCAUUCCAUAUUCUU